CUAACGUUCUGGGUGACUCAGAGAAUUAUGUAGUGGCAAAUCCUAUGCAAACUCCUGCAGCGAUAGUUCCAGAGUGAUAUGGAUAACGAAGAUGUCACUUAAUCUUGCUAUAUGCUGGAAACUCCAUUAAAGUACCAUUUAAAGGACAAUCAGCAGGAAACCAACCAGAUACAUUUGUUGCUCCGAAGCAGCAAUAAUUAUACUAGAAGGAUCCUCAGAGACUAUAUGCGAGACAUAUUAGGAUUAACUAUUUAAUCUUAUAAAUGAAGAUAUAGUCCAAACAUAAUAGUGAUAUUAUU
rnacentral:ncRNA from 1 species